rnacentral:rRNA from 1 species
UACGUAGGGUGCAAGCGUUGUCCGGAAUUAUUGGGCGUAAAGAGCUCGUAGGCGGCUUGUCGCGUCGUUCGUGAAAACCUGCAGCUCAACUGCAGGCUUGCGGUCGAUACGGGCAGGCUAGAGUUCGGUAGGGGAGACUGGAAUUCCUGGUGUAGCGGUGAAAUGCGCAGAUAUCGGGAGGAACACCGGUGGCGAAGGCGGCGACCUGGGUAGAUACUGACGCUGAGGUGCGAAAGCGUGGGGAGCAAACAGGG